AUUAGAGUUUGAUCAUGGCUCAGGAUGAACGCUAGCGACAGGCUUAACACAUGCAAGUCGAGGGGCAGCACGAUGUAGCAAUACAUUGGUGGCGACCGGCGCACGGGUGAGUAACGCGUAUGCAACCUACCUAUCAGAGGGGAAUAACCCGGCGAAAGUCGGACUAAUACCGCAUAAAACAGGGGUUCCACAUGGAAAUAUUUGUUAAAGAAUUAUCGCUGAUAGAUGGGCAUGCGUUCCAUUAGAUAGUUGGUGAGGUAACGGCUCACCAAGUCCACGAUGGAUAGGGGUUCUGAGAGGAAGGUCCCCCACACUGGUACUGAGACACGGACCAGACUCCUACGGGAGGCAGCAGUGAGGAAUAUUGGUCAAUGGGCGAGAGCCUGAACCAGCCAAGUCGCGUGAAGGAUGAAGGAUCUAUGGUUUGUAAACUUCUUUUAUAUGGGAAUAAAGUGAGGAACGUGUUCCUUUUUGUAUGUACCAUAUGAAUAAGCAUCGGCUAACUCCGUGCCAGCAGCCGCGGUAAUACGGAGGAUGCGAGCGUUAUCCGGAUUUAUUGGGUUUAAAGGGUGCGUAGGUGGUUAAUUAAGUCAGCGGUGAAAGUUUGUGGCUCAACCAUAAAAUUGCCGUUGAAACUGGUUGACUUGAGUAUAUUUGAGGUAGGCGGAAUGCGUGGUGUAGCGGUGAAAUGCAUAGAUAUCACGCAGAACUCCGAUUGCGAAGGCAGCUUACUAAACUAUAACUGACACUGAAGCACGAAAGCGUGGGGAUCAAACAGGAUUAGAUACCCUGGUAGUCCACGCAGUAAACGAUGAUUACUAGCUGUUUGCGAUACACAGUAAGUGGCACAGCGAAAGCGUUAAGUAAUCCACCUGGGGAGUACGCCGGCAACGGUGAAACUCAAAGGAAUUGACGGGGGCCCGCACAAGCGGAGGAACAUGUGGUUUAAUUCGAUGAUACGCGAGGAACCUUACCCGGGUUUGAACGCAUAUUGACAGCUCUGGAAACAGAGUCUCUAGUAAUAGCAAUUUGCGAGGUGCUGCAUGGUUGUCGUCAGCUCGUGCCGUGAGGUGUCGGCUUAAGUGCCAUAACGAGCGCAACCCUUAUCACUAGUUACUAACAGGUCAUGCUGAGGACUCUAGUGAGACUGCCAGCGUAAGCUGUGAGGAAGGUGGGGAUGACGUCAAAUCAGCACGGCCCUUACAUCCGGGGCGACACACGUGUUACAAUGGUGGGGACAAAGGGCAGCUACCUGGCGACAGGAUGCUAAUCUCCAAACCCCAUCUCAGUUCGGAUCGAAGUCUGCAACCCGACUUCGUGAAGCUGGAUUCGCUAGUAAUCGCGCAUCAGCCAUGGCGCGGUGAAUACGUUCCCGGGCCUUGUACACACCGCCCGUCAAGCCAUGGGAGUUGGGGGUACCUAAAGUCCGCAACCGCAAGGAUCGGCCUAGGGUAAAACCGAUGACUGGGGCUAAGUCGUAACAAGGUAACCAAU
rnacentral:rRNA from 1 species